AAUGAAUUAGUGAGCUGCUCUGGCCCCGAUGGUGACAUAAUGAGAAUAAUCUAAGCUGUUUGCUUUUUUAUUGAUUUGUAUUUAUUUUGGAUCGAGAAAGAGAAAUUGAGAGCUGGGUUAUGGUUGAGCACACAUGUUACAGGUACCAGACUAAAAUUAUCUGGAGUCAGGCGGUAUAGCAGCAGGUUAAGUGCACGUGACGCUUUGCAAGUGUUAGGUUCAGUAAUCCAAGAAAUUCACCAAGAGACCAGGGUGAUGUAAAGACAAGGAGCUUUAUUUACUAGCCGGCUAGGGCCAAAUUACCAAGGAGCUGGUGCAACAGCCUUCUGGCAAUCAACCCUGUACACAAGUCUUAUAAGGGUUUAUAUAACUUUUACAUUACAUGGCUAUGUGACAAGAUUCAGCUACACAGUAUGGUUACAUGACAGUUUUACAACAAUAGUUAUCUAUAGCUCCCAGGUGCAGGGGAGGGGAGGGGGUCUUUUUGGCCUCGAGGUUAUUUCCUUUUCCUGGCCCUAGGCUCCCGGACUGUUUUCUGAGUCUGUCCUUGGAUCUAUCUCCUGCCUUGCAGACUCCCAGGCUUGUCUCUGUUUAUAGCUUUAACACCUGAGAAUUGCUUUCUUCCUCAGGGACAGGCCUGUCUUAUAAUUGCCUACUCAACCCUUGGGUUUCCUGAGACUAGGUUCAUUUGUCUCAUUAUUUACCAUCUUACAUUAAUUUCUUUUUGUUCAGUUCCUACAGCAAGGACUGGUGUAAGGAUCCUGGUUCAAUCCCCGGCUCCCCACCUGCAGGGGAGUCACUUCACAGGCAGUGAAGCAGGUCUGCAGGUGUCUGUCUUUCUCUCCCCCUCUCUGUCUUCCCCAGCCAGAAAUCAAGAGGGAAGGGGAGAUAGGAUGAGAGACACCUGCAGCCCUGCUUCUCCACUUGCAAAGCUUUCUCCCUGCAGGUGGGUCCUGGGAGCUCGAACCUGGGUCCUUGCGCUGUGACGUGUGCGCUCAGCUAGGUGCACCACCACCCAGCCCAGUUUUUUUUUUUCCUUCCCAGAGCAUUGAUCAGCUCUAACUAUGCCAGUGCAAAGGAUUAAACAUGAGAUUUGAGGACUUAAGUCACUAGAGUUUCUUUGCAUAAAUAACCAUUAUGGUCUCUUCCCUGCACAUUGCAUUUAUUUAUACAUUUCUUUGUUUUACUAGAACACUGCACAAUUCUGGCUUUUGGUGAUACAGGGCAUUGCAUCUGGCACUUCGGAGCCUCAGGCAUGAGAGUCUCUUUGUGUAACUAUUAUGCCAUCUACCUGCCCCCCCCCCACUACUGGCCAUCUUGUUAAAUGCAGAGCCUGAUGCAUGAGAGUAACACAUUUGUUAAAAAACUUUAUGCCAGAGACAUCACAGUUUGAGGGUCAAUCAUGGGCAUCAUUGGAAGUGAAAGCCAAUAAGUGCUCCUAUGAAAAGAUGAGAAAGAAAGAAAUAGAAUAAAGUGCUGUGAAGGGAUCAGGAGGAGCAGAAAUGUCUUGAUGCCAAUCAUCUAUGCUGACCCUGCCAACCCACCCCUGGGGCAGCUCCACACCUUCUCGGUGGAGUCCAUCAGCUCACAUAUCUAGAGGUGUGUGUGAAUGGCUGCUCACUGUGGAGAGCCACUGGUCUGUCCCCACAAUCAGCAGAAGCACUUCUCCAGGACUUCCAUGUAUAACAGGCUCUGAAGAGAGCCUCUGAGCUGCUCUGCACUGGCAGCCCCAGUUGCCACCAUGUAGAAAUCUGAGUCUCCCAAGGAGCCAGAACAGCUGCGGAAGCUCUUCAUCAGAGGCUUGAGCUUUGAAACGACUGAGGAGAGUCUAAGAUGCCAUUCUGAGCAGUGAGGAGCUCUCACAGACUGCAUGGUUAUGAGACUCAAACACCAGGCACUCCAGGGGUUUCAGUUUUGUCCCAUAUGCCACCGUGGAGGAAGUGUGUGCUGCCAUAAAUGCAAGGCCACACAGGGUGGAUGGGAGAUUCUUGGAACCAAAGAGAGCCAUCUCCAGAGAAGAUUCUCGACCACCUGGUGCCCACUUAACUAAUCAAUAAAAUGAGGAUCACCCCAGCAUGCUUCACUUCAGACUGUGUCCAGAGACUUUAGGUGUGGAAUGACAACCCUUCAGCUUCAUUACUCAGGUCUCUGUUGAUAGACCCUGCAGACCAGGGCACCUGGCGCCCAACGUGGGACAUUUUUGGGUCUGGAGUCCGAGAGAACGUCGCUCCCCAAUGGUCGACCACGAAGCACUGUGACAGCCGCUUCAGACAAGAAGUGAGUGAAGGUCUACAUACGAUCACCGCUUCAACCCAGAAGUGAGUGAAGGUCCACAUUGUGAUCGCCACAGAAUCGCCCAUCUGUGAGACUGAUCCGUUUUAAGAGUCCCUGUUGGCAAGUCCUUACCACAAAAGACUCCAUGCCAGUAUAUACUCCAGCUAACCUCACCAGCCUAUCCAAGUCUUCUCUUUCUGCUGACCUACCACUGCUGACUUCAUCCUUACAUGUUUAUUGAGCUGCUCACUUUUCUCCCAAUAUUCCUCAUGUUCAAGGAACCUCACCUAAUGUGUAUGCACCUCCUCUGUGUUUUGGUGCAACACCACCCUAUAUUUUCAUGUCAAUUCUUCUCUGCCUGGUC